CUGCUCUGUUUACUUGGACGUACCCAAAUUUAUUCUUAUUCUCACCUACAAAACCUCUACCUAACUCCCACUGGUUUUGAGUAUUGUACGCCGCAAAAGUUGUGUAGUGGCACGACAGUGAACCUGUCAAUGCAUACUUUUUUUUGUUCUAUAAAAAGAAGGAGAAGAAAGCUGCCACGUCAGUGACCACUAGGGAGCGGGCCCCACCUAGCACAGCACAGGCACCCCCUCGGCCCCUUGGAUCGCCUAUAAAUCGAGGCUUCCUACACUUGUUCCCUCCCUUUUCCCUCUCUCACCACUCGAGCCCCUCUGAUACGCUGCUAAUUACCAUUCUGCCCCUGGCCAAUCAAUGGCAGGCACUCUGCUGCAGCUAGCAAUGGCCCCCCAGCUUCCCCCGCUCUCUGAUCCCGCCCUCGAGGCCUUCCUCGCUGACAUCGGCUUCGGCCUGGGGCCCGACCCCACGCCCCUAGACCUCACGACGACGACGACGAUGGCAGCCACGCCGCCGGAGGAGGAGACGUCGGCGUCUGCGUCGGCCGCCGCGGCCGGCGAGGCGGAGCGCCGCCUCCGUCGCAAGAUCUCGAACCGGGAGUCGGCACGGCGGUCCCGCGCGCGCAAGCAGCGGCACCUGGAGGAGCUCCGCGCGCGCGCCGCCAGGCUCCGCGCGGGCAACCGCGAGCUCGCCGCGCGCCUCCGCGGCGUCCAGGGCCGCGCCGCGCUGGUCCGGCUCACCAACGCCCGGCUGCGCGCCGAGGCCGGCGCCCUGGGCCGCCGCCUCGCGGCCGCGCGGCGCGCCAUCGCGCUGCGGCAGAUGUACGCCGCGGCCUCCGCCGCCGGCACCAGCGGCGGCUUCGAGCUGCAGGCGCUCGCCUCGCUGAUCGUGUAGCAUGCAUGACUGGACCUGCACGCACGUAGAAUGAAAUUAAACGUGCGGAUCUUUUUGACUGGAUUGAUCACCUGGAACGAAAGGCUCAAGCUGAGAAUUUCCGCGGUCAUUGCGAUUGAUCUCUGACAUCGUCAGCCGGUGGAAAUGGAAUUGCAUAUAUGCUGCUUGCAUUAUUGUCGGGCAGCAGGCGUAUUUUUCUUGAUUUUUCAUGGAGUGUAUAUAUAUAUAUAUAUAUGAAAAAUUCAUUCUAUACGUGUUUAUAGCUAAUUUCACAUAUGUAUCUCACAAUACAGGGCAUAUCUGACGCAACGCAACGAAAGGUAUGUACAAGGUGAUAAGAAUUCCCUGCUGGGCGUUCGACCGUGUCGUCGUCAAGGUCGAACAGCGACGACACCCAAGCAAGGCCAUGGCGGCCGGCUUUGUUAUUUCCAAUUCCUAGUCAAGCAAGUGUGCGGUGGGGCUGCAGGUGGCUCGUCGCCGUCGCCACGUUGAAAGCAAAGCACAAGCAUAUAUAAAAUUAAGAAGCAGCAGCUAGCUAGCUCGCGAUGUGUUCUACGUCUCCUAAUUGUGGCUCUUGCGUUCGCUAACGGCGUACUCAUGUAACAGUAACACUAUGGAUCGUAGUACUGUGUCGACGGCAGACAAGUACUGCUGCCGCCUGACGAUCGACACCUUGCUUGCCAGGUACUAGCUGCAGCUUUUCUGCAAAGCUAGGGUGCUCGUCCUUCCUUUUCCUUCAUCGUCCACCUGCUUUGAUUCCUUAAACGCCGCCCGUGAAAACGACUGCAUGUAUGUGCGAGCUAGCUACCCUGACAUGGGUGGCCCGCGUUAUGCAUAUUGAUGGCAUAAAAGCAGCAGAUGUUGAGA